AACGUAGGUGGCGAUCGUUAUCCGGAUUUACUGGGCGUAAAGCGUGUGCAGGCGGGGAACCAAGUGGUGUAUAAAAUUUCUCAGCUAAACUGGGAGCGGUUAUGCCAGACUGGUUUUCUGGAGUGCGAGAGAGGGGCGUGGAAUUCCCGGUGUAGUGGUGGAAUGCGUAGAUAUCGGGAGGAACAUCAGUGGCGAAAGCGGCACCCUGGCAUUAGCCUGACGCUCAUGUGCGAAAGCGUGGGGAGCGAACGGG
rnacentral:rRNA from 1 species